GCUAUGAAGAAAUGAUGGUUCUGAAGUCAUCUCCUGAGUGUAAAUACCAGAGAUAAGAAGAGGUUUAAAGAUUUCAUUGAAAGCUAUGGUGUUACCUUCAUAUGGGGGACCCUAGAGGAUGUCGUGGACUGAAGAAGACCUACUACACCCCCGGCCCUCAGAGAAGAAACUGAAGAUGCCUGUGCAGCCAUCUCAAUGGCCAAGGCCACCCAAGCAGCGGUUCACUGAAUUCCUAGACGUCUGGAAGCUCACGGACACCACACUGAGCACCUCUUGCAAUUGUAGAGGCAAAGGAACAUCUCUCAUCUAUCAGGAAGUGCUUUCAUCUUCAACCAAAGGAAAAGAUCACAUGAGGAGUGAUGGCAAAGCACGGCCAGGGGAGGAAUUUCACAUGACGUGCAGAUGCUGGAGGAUGACGACACAUACUGGAGCUCACAGGAAUCGUGAGGUCCAGCGCAUCACACCUGUCUCUACGUUGUGCUUUCUGGUUCCUAGAAACAAAUACGUGUCUUGUUGUGCUAAACUUCGUCUUUUUCAACUUUACACCAUGCAUCUUGGUUUCCCUUGUACAAAAUACUAUGGAUAUAAUUCGAAGUCGACUUACUUUACCUUGUUGCAGGAUUAAUUUUAAACACAGAAUUCACAUUUCUGUUUGGAGAGUCAAAUGAAAGUCUCAUGAUCAUCAUUAUACUAAUGCAUGAAUGCAGCUGUCCAAUAACCAAGCAGGUAUUUGUCUAGUUUCUAUUCCAUUUAUUAGACUGCAAGAAAAAGAAGCAUUAAUCUACCUCUAGUGAUAUUGACAAGGAAAGGAAGGAAAGAGUAAGCAUGAAGCCCUCUCUUUCCAAACUGUUUCUAGCAUUCUCUUUUCUAUGCCAAUUCAGCAAAAAGGAAGAAGUCAGAACAAACUUGACCUGUCUGGAUACCAGAAAUAAACAUCUCAGGUAAAUGAGAGAAUUCUGUCACCAGGACUGUUUUUUUAUUGCAUGGUUGUACUGUAAUUCUGAAAUCUGAGAAAGAUAUUUUGCAAGAAAGAUAUCUGUUAUUUUCUUAGAACCUUCUUUCACCACCCAUAAAUAGACUUAAAAAUGGAUCAAAGUUUUGUUGCUUUUUUUUUUGGUACUGGGGAUCGAACUCUGGUCCUCGCGCUUGUGCAGCAGGCGGCAAAACCACUGAGCUAAAUCCCUGGCCCUUGAAUGAAAGUUUUGUAACUCUCUAUUAUUUUAUACUUCAAUGGAAUUGACAAUUAACCUAAGUGAGAAUAAAGAGCCAUAAUAAAUAAAAAUUUGAAAUUAUUAUUUACUUAAGAAAGUUACUGGCUGUUAAAAUGGUUCAAGAU
rnacentral:lncRNA from 1 species